rfam:Oryza glumipatula chromosome 4, whole genome shotgun sequence.
UGUAAAUGGAUUUUGAGUUUUUGCUUAUAGUGUUUGACCACUCGUCUUAUUUAAAAAAUUUUAGAAUUAUUAUUUACUUUUUUGUGACUUACUUUAUUAUCCAAAGUACUUUACGCACAACUUUUCGUUUUUUAUAUUUGCAUAAUUUUUUUAAAUAAGACGAGUGGUCAAACACUACAAGCAAAAACUCAAAAUCCCUUAUA